rnacentral:lncRNA from 1 species
AAGCAAUCUUUAAGAUAUUUUUUUAAUCUAGAAAAUUAAAAUAAAAAUUAAAAAUUUUGCAAACGAUUGCUACAACGAACCACGUCAGAACGAACAAGUUUCAUGACUCAAAUCAAAAUAUUGUAAUAAACUGUACAAAGAUGCUACAACGAAUACGAAGAAAUAUCAGCUACUCCCCCGAUUUUUUCAUUCCGCCCUCGCUACGAUGAUUGAGAACUGCCACCAACUGACGAUUCUGAGUCUUUUGAAUUUCUCUUUUCCUUCGUUUAGUAAUAUUUAUUUUCAAACAAAAGAGCAAUUGCGUGAGAGAGUAUUUGUUACCGAAUAAAGGAGUUGACAAAGAGUAUUUGCCAGCAAACAAAAGGGCUGAUAAAGAUAAACGCCUAAACAUAUAAAUGAAUAAAAGCAUAAAUCCACAAUGUGGCAUGAGCAUGAGAAGGAACUAUGAAUUGCAAUUAGACGACACAUCGAUAUCGGCACAUGUUUGUUAGUUAAAUAUACAUGUAGAGUAUUCCAGAAUAGGUGAUACAACCAGGCAGGAGCUUAUUCUACUGCAUUUUGGUUUGGUUGAGAUAAGGCUGAGAUGAAAUAAAUAUUUGGUCGAAGACCGUGAGAGCUGCGAAGACAUUCUCAAGGUCAUCUUUCCAUUCUUAGUAAGUAAGUCGAUCACAAGAGAAUAUUUUGCGAAGUUUCAAUCAAAUACCCAUGGAUCAGUUUUCACAACAGGAUAAAUUUUGGUUGUACAGCACGUACUUCGAGUCUGAUAAGAUAUAUUACUCUAUUAAUGAUAUAGCUGCAUAAUUAUUUGAUAAGCGUCUAGAUAAGACUAGGGUACAAUGUUUAUAAAAGUUUUCAAAAGCAAUACAAAAAUGCUAUUGAUGAUUAAUUGAAGAAUUAUCGCGUUUCACGGAGGUAUUGAUGUCUAAAUUUGAAUCGUUGAAUAUAGACAUUUUAUGGCGAAGUAACAUUAUACAUAGGUAAUGAAAUGUGUGAAAUAUGUGAGAAGUAAAAACCGGAAUUAAUUGAAUAUGCUAAGAGGACUGUCCAAUUUAUAGCGAACAUAGAAAUAGAAAAUAUAUGCAAAUAAAAACAGCAGGCAAAUUAUGAAAACGAAAAGGAAAGUAUGUAAAUAAAUUUUGCUAGUUUGUACAGAGUGGAGUGAAAAUUAAAGCAAUUUGCAUAGAAAUAGCAUACCAUCGUUUAGGAAAAUGUGAUACUAAUUACUACGUAGUAAUAAGGACAAGAAUAACACUAGCUCGAAAGCAUAGUAAAAACCAACAUUAUAUCAAAGAAAUAUCAUUACUUUCCUAUUUAUAGUCAUAACCCAUUUAUUAUACGAGCUCGUAGUAAUAAUUACUCACUACAUUUAUCGCUAAUUUAUCACCUAUAAGAGAAGCGCUAAGUUGAUAACGUAAACACUUUGCAUAUUUAUUUAUGCAUACUGCCAUAAAUUAAAUAAUCCUCAGCUUAUUAAUGAUUGAUCAAGUAUAGUGUCAAUUACGAAAUUGGUGGAAUAUUUGUUUUAUAAUUUAUUUGUAUGUAGAUUUCUGUGACCGAUUGUAUGUAAUUCUUAUUACAUAGAAUCUAUACAAUUACACUGCAAAUAUUAAAUUUGCAG